CAGUCGCCACGGUAAUACGUAGGGUGCAAGCGUUAAUCGGAAUUACUGGGCGUAAAGCGUGCGCAGGCGGUUUGUUAAGACAGAUGUGAAAUCCCCGGGCUCAACCUGGGAACUGCAUUUGUGACUGGCAAGCUAGAGUCUGGCAGAGGGGGGUGGAAUUCCGCGUGUAGCAGUGAAAUGCGUAGAUAUGCGGAGGAACACCGAUGGCGAAGGCAGCCCCCUGGGCCAACACUGACGCUCAUGCACGAAAGCGUGGGGAGCAAACAGGAUUAGAGACCCGUGUAGUCCCUGUCUCUUAUAC
rnacentral:rRNA from 1 species